rnacentral:rRNA from 1 species
AUUGAACGCUGGCGGCAGGCCUAACACAUGCAAGUCGAGCGGAUGAAGGGAGCUUGCUCCUGGAUUCAGCGGCGGACGGGUGAGUAAUGCCUAGGAAUCUGCCUGGUAGUGGGGGAUAACGUCCGGAAACGGGCGCUAAUACCGCAUACGUCCUGAGGGAGAAAGUGGGGGAUCUUCGGACCUCACGCUAUCAGAUGAGCCUAGGUCGGAUUAGCUAGUUGGUGGGGUAAAGGCCUACCAAGGCGACGAUCCGUAACUGGUCUGAGAGGAUGAUGAGUCACACUGGAACUGAGACACGGUCCAGACUCCUACGGGAGGCAGCAGUGGGGAAUAUUGGACAAUGGGCGAAAGCCUGAUCCAGCCAUGCCGCGUGUGUGAAGAAGGUCUUCGGAUUGUAAAGCACUUUAAGUUGGGAGGAAGGGCAGUAAGUUAAUACCUUGCUGUUUUGACGUUACCAACAGAAUAAGCACCGGCUAACUUCGUG